CAACCUUUACAAAGACGAUAAAAAAUGCUGAAUAACAUAAGAAAAUGUAUAGAGUGCCGUCUGGCACAUACACUUUAACUCAAAAUAACGUAACAACCUCUAAGACCCGGAAACUCACGGGCAAUACAGGCUAAGAGUAAAAAUAUAACAUACGGCUCUAAUAUCUGGAAAUGUUUACAACAACUAAAUACAUGAAAGGGAACUGCUAACUAAAAGGUAGAGUAGAAGGAGACUCUUCGGAUAUGCAAACGCAGCGGAUGCAUACCUCAAGUCUCCAAGUAUAGCUUCGAAAUCACUGAUAGUGCGCUUGACCAGAAGUACCCGAAUCUGCACAACAAAAGUGUGCAGAAGAGUAGCAUGAGUACACCACAGCGGUACUCAGUAAGUGCCAAGCCUAACCUCAGUUGGGUAGUGACGAGGAAGGUCGAGGCCUACUGAGAUAAAUAUAAGAAUAAACAUGAAAUGAAUAGACAGUAAGAACAAAGGAAAUCUCAAGUAUCCAGUAAAAACAAUAAGUAAAACGGAACAGGCUACAAAUACAAUCUACAAUUAUAAGAACACUCACUCAAUAUCAGAAUGCCACAUGGAGCUUCGGGAAUUGAACCCGCAGUCCAUUUUACCAAUAUCUAAGGAUCUCCCGAGAAUCGAACCCGUAGUCUAUCAUAUCAAUAACAGAGGAUCUCCCAGGAAUUGAAGCUGUAGUCCAUCAUAUCAAUAACAGAGGAUCUCCCGAAAACUAAACCCAUCUUAUCAAUAACAGAGGAUCUCCCGGACAUUGAACCCGUAGUCUAUCAUAUCAAUAAAAGAGGAUCUCCCGGGAAUUGAACCCAUAGUCUAUCAUUUCAAUUACAGAGGAUCUCUCGGGAAUUGAAUCCGUAGUCCAUCAUAUCAGUAACAAAGGGUAUCGCGGGAAUUAAACCCGUAGUCCAGCAUAUCAAUAACAGAGGAUCUCCCGGGAAUCGAACCCGUAGUCUAGCAUAUCAACAAACACAUCACAAAAAUUCAAUAUUUAACAGAAAGAAACUAAGUACAGGCAACGGGUAAAGAUCUAGAGCCUAGCAUGCUCGCAAAAAGGACAUAUAAUGCA
rnacentral:lncRNA from 1 species